AAACGAACUUGAAUAAAAAGCACAUAAACUCACACACAAAAACUUAAAAAAAAAUGAAAUAUAAGCUUAAUCAGUUCCUCCAAGCACACCCUUAAGUUUCUUAACUUGUUCAUCACUAAGGAAGGUGGUGGCUUCAACGAGCUCUGAAGGCAAAUCAUUAGCAAACAAAGCAAACGGUAGAAUCUGGAGGCCUGGGGAGGAGCUUCCAAAGGCAACAAAGGCCAAGGCAGGGCCUUUCCCAGAGUUAAGCUGAAAAUGAAGAAGCCCUUGAGGAAACACCAUAGAAUCACCUCUCUGGAGAGUCUUCAAGUAAACUUUGUUAGCAGAGGAAAUAAACCCGGCGCAGAUGGUUCCUUGUAUGACUACAAGAACCUCAGACGCACCAGGAUGUGUGUGAAGAGGAAUGACACCACCACCGGCUAAGUCAAGACGAGCCAUUGAGACUCCAAGACCAUUGGUGCCUGCGAAAGCAGGGGCAAAGGCUGGCGUCACUGCGGCUUUAAUGAGGUUCGAAGUGUUUCCAGCUUUGGCGAGGCCGGAGAAUGCAAAGUCAUUUUAAUAAACCUCAAGACAAGUGCUAAGAAAAAAAAAUAUAUUUAGUUGUAUUUGAGGUUCAUGAAUAUCAGAAAACAUAAAACUUUAUUAAUGUACUCUUACCACAUACAUACAAAAUUACAAAUAUUUGUAAUUAUCUAGAUCCAUGUGAGUUCAUGUUAUGCCCUCUAAGGACACCUUACGUGUUGUACAUGCUGGCUAUGUUCCCCUCCUUUGUUUCUCUCUUAAGCUCUUGUGAUUCUCUGAUAAAAAAAACUUCUUUUCUGCAGCUUUUGUGCUUCAUCCUCUGAGUGGUUCUUAGUGCUUUCAAAGUACAUGAUGAGUAAAGUUAACAGUGAGGAAUCUUCUAGUAACCAAAAGUUAUUGAAGGAGGUAGAGACGAUCGGUGAAGCUUUGUAUGUGAACAAGAAUAAUCCUAGGAGGAGCUCAGCAUCUGGUCCUAAUAACAACACUUCAACAAAGCCCUUGGGUCGUACCACCCACUUAGCUGAGCCUCAGAAGGAAAAGAAGUCUUUUUGGAACUGGCCUCUCAGAGCUCUUUCUCAUGUCCGAAACCGACGGUUCAACUGUUGUUUCUUUGCUCAAGUACAUUCCAUAGAAGGCUUACCGCCGAUAUUCCAGGAUCUUUACCUCACUGUUCACUGGAAACGUCGUGAUGAGUCUUUAACCACUCGUCCUGCAAAAGUUUUGAACGGAAGAGCUGAGUUUAAGGACAAGCUGACGCAUACGUGCUCGGUUUACGGAAGCAGAAGCGGACAGCAUCACUCGGCUAAGUAUGAAGCGAAGCAUUUCUUGCUGUAUGCGUCUCUGGUUGGGUCUCCUGAGGUUGAUCUGGGGAAACAUCGGAUGGAUCUUACGAGAUUGCUUCCUCUAACGCUAGAGGAGUUGCAGGAUGAGAAGAGCACUGGGAAGUGGUCGACGACGUUUCAGUUGAGUGGGAAGGGUAGUGGUGCUACUCUGAGCAUGAGUUUUGGGUACACUGUUGUUGGGGAUACUCGCAGUGCUUCAAAUGCAAAGCAAACUAGCAAUAAUAUCACAGGGUUGACGAGGACUACUAGUACAAAGUCUGUAUCUCGGCGUUAUGAUCAUGGUAUUGUUAACAAAGAGUCUCGUCCUCUGUCUGAGAAUGUGGAGGAGAUCAAAGAUCUUCAUGAAGUUCUUCCCGUUGCACAAUCUGACCUGGCCAGUUCUGUGAACAUUCUGUAUCAAAAAUUUGAUGAGGAGAAGGUGGAUCGGGCAGCUGAGUCUCAGAUCGAAUUUGAGGUUGUCACUAAACACAUUGAACCUGUUGAGUCAUUUUCUCAAGAAAAUGAAGAUGCAAAUGAAACUGAGGUUCCUUUAGAGGAUGUUAAGAAGGUUGACGAAGUUCCUACUGCUGGAAGUGAGGAAGUUUUUACAGAAAACUUGCCUCCAGGAGAGCCUUUGGUAAACAGGAAUGAGACUGAUGUUUCUUUUGAAGAAUCAAAGAUAGUUGGUGAAGUUCCUAUUACUAGAAGUGAGGAAGUUGUUGAGAUUGGUACAGAAAGUUUGUCUCCAGAGGAGGGUAGCAAUGUUUCUAUAAAGGAAGAGAACAGUGGGAGAGACGUGAGAGAAAUGAUAAUGAAAGAUCUUGAAUCAGCUUUGAAAAGUGUAGAAAUGUUGGAAGCAACAGCGUCAGACGACGACGAGGAAGAUCAAGAAGACCGUGGAGGCUCAGAAACAUCCUAUAGAACACCAAAUAAGGAAGCAGCAGCAGUAUCAAGUUCGAGAGAUGUGGCAAGCGAGUUCCUAGACAUGCUAGGUAUUGAACACAGCCCUUUUAGUUUGAGUUUUGAGAGCGAACCUGAGUCUCCAAGGGAGCGCUUGUUAAGAGAGUUUGAAAUGGAAACUCUAGCGGCCGGUUCUUUGUUUGAUUUUACUAUUGAAUCUGAUGAAAACUUCUCAGAAGAGAAUGAAUCAGAUUUCGAUCUGGCAUCCCUAGUUCAAGAUAUAGAGGAAGAGUACCAGUUGGAAACUCAAGCAAGAGUCAGCAACCCCAGGGCCAAAACGUUAGAAGACUUGGAAACAGCAUCACUGAUGCGUGAGUGGGGUAUGAAUGAAAACACAUUCCAGAACUCUCCGCCUCACAAUGGUCGUAAUACGUUUCCUCCAGAACAGGAGCCAUUUGAUUUGCCUCCUCUAGGAGAUGGCCUUGGUCCAGUUGUGCAGACAAAGAACGGAGGGUUCUUGCGUUCAAUGAAUCCUUUACUAUUCAGAAACUCUAAAUCCGGAGGGAGCUUGAUCAUGCAAGUGUCAAGUCCAGUGGUGGUGCCUGCUGAGAUGGGCUCUGGUAUCAUGGAGAUACUUGAGAAACUAGCCACUGCUGGAAUUGAGAAGCUCUCAAUGCAGGCAAAUAAAGUAAUGCCUUUGGAUGAUAUAACAGGGAAAACUAUGGAAGAGUUGUUGUGGGAUGCUUCACCUGCAAUUGACGGUGGUAACAGGUUUGAAACCAAUCUUAUCAUCAUUCAUUCUGUUUUGUGAAAAAUGUUUACUUACGUUUUGGACGUAUUUGGUUUACUUCUCAAUGCAGGGAUCAUAUCUCACAGCAUGAAUCUGGUUUUGGGAGUGGAGCAUCAUCUGCAGCUAAUUCAAAAAAGUUUGGUUCAAGCUCUAGCAACAACAACUCUGGCUCGGAGUAUGUAUCACUUGAAGAUCUUGCUCCUUUGGCUAUGGACCAGAUUGAAGCACUUUCUUUAGAAGGGUUGAGAAUACAAUCAGGAAUGUCAGAGGAGGAUGCACCCUCUGAAAUAACUGCACAGUCAAUCGGAGAGAUCUCAGCCUUCCAAGGAAAAAGCGGGUGCGUUGGUCUAGAAGGAGCUGCUGGUUUACAACUUCUUGACAUAAAGGAUGACAGAGAUGACGAUGAUGAUGGGUUAAUGAGUCUCUCAUUGACUCUUGAUGAGUGGAUGAAGCUGGAUUCAGGUGACAUUGGAGACGAAGAUGAAAUAAAUGAGCAAACGUCGAAAAUCUUGGCUGCACAUCAUGCAAACCCACUGAACUUUAUCCGGAAAGGGGAGAAAAGAAAGGGGAAGAGAGGAAGGAGAUGUGGUUUACUUGGGAAUAACUUCACAGUAGCACUAAUGGUUCAACUCCGAGAUCCCUUAAGAAACUAUGAGCCAGUUGGAGCUCCCAUGCUUUCUCUUAUCCAGGUUGAGAGAUUGUUUGUUCCUCCAAAGCCCAUAAUCUAUAGUACAGUUUCAGAGGUGAGGAAAACCGAUGAAGAGGAAAAGGAAACUGAGGUGGUCAAAGAGGAUAAAACCGUUUUGGAGGAACAAGGAAUCCCUCAGUAUAAAAUCUCAGAGGUGCAUGUUACUGGUAUGAAGAGUGAGACUGAUAAAAAGCCAUGUGGAGUCAAGAGUCAGCAUCAGCAGGUGCAGUCUGGUUCAAGGUGGUUGAUGGCUAACGGAAUGGGGAAAGGGAACAACAAGCUUCCUCUUAUGAAACCAAAACCGGGUUCUAUAAAGUCUGGUGAUAAGUUGUGGAGUGUGUCUGGUUCUGGUUCUAAAUGGAAAGAGCUUGGGAAAGUGGGGAAGUGGAACACACACGUGCGGAAUCCGAAUGUGAUCAUGCCAAAAUGAAACAAGAACUAGUGUCUGGUUUCUGGUUUUCUUUUUAUGCUAUGUAAAGUUAAUGUUAUGUGGUGUGUUGAAUUGCUAGAUUCAUUUCAGUGUUGCACCUGUGUUUAUUUAUGUGUGUGUUAGUUUAGGUUUUGCGGAUCAAACUAAUCACUGUUUUGUGGUACAGUUAAGAGAUCAAUGGAACGAACAAGAGCCUUUGAACUUGGUGCAGUGCUUAUUAUAUGAUAGUGAGGCAUCUUAGACGUGUCUGCAAUGCAAUGCUUAUUACUUAAUUAAAAUUUAAGCCAUAGAGACAAGAAAAUGAAACACUUGGAACAAUUACACACAAUAAAAUGCUAAACGAACUUGAAUAAAAAGCACAUAAACUCACACACAAAAACUUAAAAAAAAAUGAAAUAUAAGCUUAAUCAGUUCCUCCAAGCACACCCUUAAGUUUCUUAACUUGUUCAUCACUAAGGAAGGUGGUGGCUUCAACGAGCUCUGAAGGCAAAUCAUUAGCAAACAAAGCAAACGGUAGAAUCUGGAGGCCUGGGGAGGAGCUUCCAAAGGCAACAAAGGCCAAGGCAGGGCCUUUCCCAGAGUUAAGCUGAAAAUGAAGAAGCCCUUGAGGAAACACCAUAGAAUCACCUCUCUGGAGAGUCUUCAAGUAAACUUUGUUAGCAGAGGAAAUAAACCCGGCGCAGAUGGUUCCUUGUAUGACUACAAGAACCUCAGACGCACCAGGAUGUGUGUGAAGAGGAAUGACACCACCACCGGCUAAGUCAAGACGAGCCAUUGAGACUCCAAGACCAUUGGUGCCUGCGAAAGCAGGGGCAAAGGCUGGCGUCACUGCGGCUUUAAUGAG
rnacentral:lncRNA from 1 species